AGCGAACGCUGGCGGCAGGCCUAACACAUGCAAGUCGAACGAACUCUUCGGAGUUAGUGGCGGACGGGUGAGUAACACGUGGGAACGUGCCUUUAGGUUCGGAAUAACUCAGGGAAACUUGUGCUAAUACCGAAUGUGCCCUUCGGGGGAAAGAUUUAUCGCCUUUAGAGCGGCCCGCGUCUGAUUAGCUAGUUGGUGAGGUAAGGGCUCACCAAGGCGACGAUCAGUAGCUGGUCUGAGAGGAUGAUCAGCCACAUUGGGACUGAGACACGGCCCAAACUCCUACUGGAGGCAGCAGUGGGGAAUCUUGCGCAAUGGGCGAAAGCCUGACGCAGCCAUGCCGCGUGAAUGAUGAAGGUCUUAGGAUUGUAAAAUUCUUUCACCGGGGACGAUAAUGACGGUACCCGGAGAAGAAGCCCCGGCUAACUUCGUGCCAGCCGCCGCGGUAA
rnacentral:rRNA from 1 species